rnacentral:lncRNA from 1 species
AUAUUUUGAAAUAAAAGUGAACAAUGACAUACAUACACACCUUUACUUAUUUGUAUUUGAACAACAUGUGUCACCAGCUCGAAACCGGUGAGAGACGGAUGAUCAUUGCAUAAAUCUCACCGAAUCAAGGUUACAAUUUAAAUAUAGGAAACGAAAAGAAGAGAACAGUGCAAAAAGGCGAAAAUAAAACGGAAGCUGACACAAAGUAGGAGGAAGAUCUCUUCAGUAUAUUAUUAUUAUUCUGUAAAGCAUACAACAGAUAUAUAUUCAGCACAAUUAUGAACGAACUACUUGCUUUGAUGAGUAUUUUAUUUGCAUUCUCUUUAUUUUUCCUCCUAUUAAAAAUAUUCAUACCAGAAUGAGAUUAGGGCGUACUCUCGUGAGAAGAAUGUUUUGUUUUGUUAUAACGAUCAUAAGAGGCACAGCGCUAGUAAAUGACUGCAGUAGAAAGAAAAACAUGUUAAGCAUAAGAAUAAAUGCAACAAACAAUAUCACCAACAAACAACAUCAUUGCUGGGGUUUCAUUGGAACGCAUGGUUUAAGGACAGCAAUUUGGAAUUUGGAGGAAUUUGCGAUUGAGAUAUCAAGCAGAAAACAGUGUGAGAGUAAAGGGAUGUUUGUUGGCGGCGAUUAAAUAUUUUUCAUUGAUUCAUAUUGUGUCAUUUACCAAUAAAAUGGUCGAAUUUAAAAAGCCAAA